ACACUGAUGGUGAAACGGUAUCAUGCUUGCCUUCCAUGGGUCGAUUGAUAGCAAGCGGCGUGGGUUCGACUCCCUCUCAGUGUA